CGUAGGUGGCAAGCGUUGUCCGGAAUUAUUGGGCGUAAAGCGCGCGCAGGCGGUCCUUUAAGUCUGAUGUGAAAGCCCACGGCUCAACCGUGGAGGGUCAUUGGAAACUGGGGGACUUGAGUACAGAAGAGAAGAGUGGAAUUCCACGUGUAGCGGUGAAAUGCGUAGAGAUGUGGAGGAACACCAGUGGCGAAGGCGACUCUUUGGUCUGUAACUGACGCUGAGGCGCGAAAGCGUGGGGAGCAAACAGGAUUAGAUACCCUGGUAGUCCACGCCGUAAACGAUGAGUGCUAGGUGUUAGAGGGUUUCCGCCCUUUAGUGCUGCAGCAAACGCAUUAAGCACUCCGCCUGGGGAGUACGGCCGCAAGGCUG
rnacentral:rRNA from 1 species